rfam:Chlamydotis undulata macqueenii contig74548, whole genome shotgun sequence.
AAAAUGGUUUUAUUAAAAACCAACAAAUAUUUAAACAAGCAUGAUCU